rnacentral:rRNA from 1 species
UACGUAGGGGGCUAGCGUUGUCCGGAAUCAUUGGGCGUAAAGCGCGUGUAGGCGGUUCGGUAAGUCCGCUGUGAAAGUCGGGGGCUCAACCCUCGGAUGCCGGUGGAUACUGUCGGACUAGAGUACGGAAGAGGCGAGUGGAAUUCCUGGUGUAGCGGUGAAAUGCGCAGAUAUCAGGAGGAACACCGGUGGCGAAGGCGGGUCUCUGGGCCGUAACUGACGCUGAGGAGCGAAAGCAUGGGGAGCGAACAGG